UACAGAGGUCUCAAGCGUUGUUCGGAUUCAUUGGGCGUAAAGGGUGCGCAGGCGGCGCGGUAAGUCGGGUGUGAAAGCCCUCAGCUCAACUGAGGAAGUGCGCCCGAAACUGCAGAGCUUGAGUGCCGGAGAGGGUGGCGGAAUUCCCCAAGUAGAGGUGAAAUUCGUAGAUAUGGGGAGGAACACCGGUGGCGAAGGCGGCCACCUGGACGGUAACUGACGCUGGAGACGCGAAAGCGUGGGGAGCAAACAGG
rnacentral:rRNA from 1 species